UACGUAGGGUCCGAGCGUUGUCCGGAAUUACUGGGCGUAAAGAGCUCGUAGGUGGUUUGUCGCGUUGUCCGUGAAAACUCACAGCUCAACUGUGGGCGUGCGGGCGAUACGGGCAGACUGGAGUACUGCAGGGGAGACUGGAAUUCCUGGUGUAGCGGUGAAAUGCGCAGAUAUCAGGAGGAACACCGGUGGCGAAGGCGGGUCUCUGGGAAGUAACUGACGCUGAGAAGCGAAAGCAUGGGUAGCAAACAGG
rnacentral:rRNA from 1 species